UUCAAGACAAUUUCAUUUUCAAGCUUUUUGGAUUUGUUGAACUUGGAUUGUAUUGAUAUUUUAGUAUCAGCUACAAAAACAAAAAUUAGUAUUCUUAGGGAAGAUCAAUUAUAACGACACUAUUUAUUUGAGGAAAUGCAUUUUCUUGUAAAAUUUGUUUCCGUUUACAGAAGAUGCGUGUUUGGUAGAGUUAGAGUGAAGUAUUAAAGAGAGAAAAAUAAAUGGAAGUUCUAAACAUGAAAAGCGAGGUUACUAACGCUCUCACCAUGAUCAUGGUGAACUUGAUGGACAGGAAUUUGGUUUUGGUAGCGUUGUUAUGUGCAGGGUUGAUGGUGUGGUCAUGAAAUGUAGUUUCUGAUUUACAAUGUGUUUGACUAUUGGAAUAUCUAAUAGAGGCAUAUGUAGUGGACCCUGCAAGAUGAAGUGGUAAGCCCUCUUUGAUGAUUUGAACCCACAAGUGCCUCUUAUCAAAAAUACUACAGUGUUUGAAUGGUCACUGGAGUUGGAUGGGCUGAAGACUGAAGAACGUUCCCUUGAUAUGCUUCAACCAGCUUCUAAAGGCAUGCAUAUUCAGGUUCCGAAACUGCGGUAUUUGACCUUUGGCUUAAUAUUCAAUCAGUUUACUCUCGAAGCCUGGACAGUGACAAAACCAGGUGGUUUGAGAAUUGGGGUGUCAGACGUCCUUUUAAGUUCACAUUUUUUGUGGGUUCUAAUGAUCAGUCAAUGGAUGUCAUUUUUGUGUUCAUGAAUGAAAGAAAGUGGCUAUAUGUAGAUUGAAAACUUGA